rnacentral:rRNA from 1 species
AGUUCGAUUAUGGCUCAGAUUGAACGCUGGCGGGAUGCUUUACACAUGCAAGUCGAACGGCAGCACGGACUUCGGUCUGGUGGCGAGUGGCGAACGGGUGAGUAAUGUAUCGGAACGUGUUUAGUAGCGGGGGAUAACUACGCGAGCGUAGCUAAUACCGCAUACGAUUUUCGGGGGAAAGCGGGGGGACCUUUCGCCCCCGCACUAUUAGAGCGGCCGAUAUCGGAUUAGCUAGUUGGUGGGGUAACGGCUCACCAAGGCGACGAUCCGUAGCUGGUUUGAGAGGACGACCAGCCACACUGGGACUGAGACACGGCCCAGACUCCUACGGGAGGCAAAGCAGUGGGGAAUUUUGGGACAAUGGGGAAACCCUGAUCCAGCCAUCCCGCGUGUGCGAUGAAGGCCUUCGGGUUGUAAAGCAAUUUUUGCGGAUAAAACGGCAUCGGGAUAAUACCCCGUGCAACUGACGGUACCCCGCAGAAUAAGCACCGGCUAACUACGCCAGCAGCCGCGGUAAUACGUAGGUGUUAAGACCGGAAUUAUCAAGGUAAAAGCGUGCGCAGCGGUUCAAAAGAAAGAUGUGAAAUCCCAGAGCUUAACUUUGGAACUGCAUUUUUAACUACCGAGCUAGAGUGGCCAGAGGGAGGGUGGAAUUCGCGUGUAGCAGUGAAAUGCGUAGAUAUGCGGAGGAACACCGAUGGCGAAGGCAGCCUCGGGAUAACACUGACUAUGCACGAAAGCGUGGGGAGCAAACAGGAUUAGAUACCCUGGUGGUCCACGCCCUAAACGAUGUCAACUAGCUGUUGGGGCCUUCGGGCCUGGUAGCGCAGCUAAUCGCGGAAGCGACCGCCUGGGGAUGCAUAUCGUAAGAUUAAACCAAAGGAAUUGACGGGGACCCGCACAAGCGGUGGAUGAUGCGGAUUGUUCGAUGCAACGCGAAAACCCUUACCUACCCUGACAUGUCUGGAAUCCCGAAGAGAUUUGGGAGGUCGCAGAGAACCAACACAGGUGCUGCAUGGCUGUCGCCCGCUCGUGUCGUGAGAUGUUGUUAAGUCCCGCAGCGCAACUCCUGUCAUUAGUUGCUACGAAAGGGCACUCCAAUGAGACUGCCGGUGACAAACCGGAGAAGCUGUGUACACGUCAAGUCCUCAUGGCCCUUAUGGGUAGGGCCACACGUCAUACAAUGGUCGGGACAGAGGGUCGCCAACCCGCGAGGGGGAGCCAAUCCCAGAAACCCGAUUUCGUAGUCCGGAUCGCAGUCUGCAACUCGACUGCGUGAAGUCGGAAUCGCUAGUAAUCGCGGAUCAGCAUGUCGCGGUGAAUACGUUCCCGGUCUUGCUACACCGCCUGGCUCGCCACUCCAUGGGAGUGGGUUUUACCAGAAGUAGUUAGCCUAACCGUAAGGAGGGCGAUUACCACGGUAGGGGAUCGCGACUGUGGGGUGAAGUCGUAACAAGGUAG